GACGAACCGUCCUAACGUUGUUCGGAAUCACUGGGCUUAAAGGGCGCGUAGGCGGGCUCUCAAGUCCGGGGUGAAAUCUUUCGGCUCAACCGGAAAAUAGCCUUGGAUACUGGGAGUCUCGAGGGAGGUAGGGGCGGGUGGAACUUCCGGUGGAGCGGUGAAAUGCGUUGAUAUCGGAAGGAACGCCGGUGGCGAAAGCGACCCGCUGGACCUCUUCUGACGCUGAGGCGCGAAAGCCAGGGGAG
rnacentral:rRNA from 1 species